rnacentral:lncRNA from 1 species
GGAGAAGAAGAAAAGGAGUAGGAAACAUCAAGGUUUUGGUAAGAAAUUUAGUAUUUACUCCUAAACAUUCUAGGGAACAUUUCUACAUUAAAAUUAACAAAGUUUAAAUUAAUGUUUGCAUGAUUAAAUCAUAUGCUUAAAAGAAAUAAUUUUACGUGAUUAACGCAUGUUUUAUGAAUGUACAUGAACUGAUUAUUUGCAUGUGAUUUAAACGAUCUAAUGCUUGAGAUAAAUAUUAAUAUGUGAUGCAAUUGAUGAUGAAAAAUAAUUAAGCAUGCAAUGAUUUAUAGAUAUGAGAAAUAUGUAUUGGUAUUGGAAAACGUAAUCUAUUUCGUUAGGCUUUUCAUCUAUGAGGGGUUUCUGUUUCUCUUCCACCUAGUUCGAAAAGACGUGAGAAGGCCACUCCCUGUGGAUGAUGGCAUAUCCUCUGACAAGAGUGGUGCUGCGAUAUGAUUAUAGGGGUCACCUUUGGGGAAGAAUGACCAUGGCUAUAGUUAACAUGUAGGACUACUACUGUUGGCACAACUAUGGUCAUAGAUCGUGUCAUGGUUUGGCAAGCCGUAAAUAUGUUGUUGGGUUAGCAAAUAGUAAAUUACUGUUAUAAAUAAAAUAAAUAGGUCAUUCCACAUGGGUAGACGAAAAUCCAUAUUACUCUCAGUAGAUGAAAGUUAGAACGACUCGGCGUAAAGACUAAAAAUAAAAGACAGUGCAUAUCAUGAUUUGUUUGAUUUUUUAUAUUUUUCAGCAUGACUGAUUUGAUAUGAUGGUUACGAUGUUUUUUUUAAUAAAUUAAAUUAUCUUCAUAAUUAAUAAAGGACUAUGUCAUGACUCUUGAUAGUAAGUGACAAUAGUACAUUUAAUCACUUUUAAAAUCUUAUGAUGUUAUUUAAAUAUUAUUUUUCUUAUUGAGUAUAUGGAGCUCACCCCUUUCCAUGCCUCCAUCCAGAUGAGGAAGAUAGUGAGAAAAUGAUCGCUGACCGACUCUUAGAAAUCUUUGAGGAUCCCGUGGAUCCAAAAACUUUUAUGAGUGCAUGAUUGUCCCGCACUUUGAUGAGUCCAUUUACAUAAUAAUAGAAGUGACAUUCUUUUGUAUUUUGUUAUUUUAUAUUUUGUUGCCAUUUCUAGCCUCAAAUAUGUAAGGAAUUUGUAAGUAUUUGUUUUACUACAUACAUUUAUUUAUUAUGCACUUGUACUCUAUUUUUGUAUCUGGCACCCU